AGGAGUCGGCAAUUUUAUCAAUAAAGUAGAAAUAUAUGAAGCUCGGUGGUAGUAUUUAUGCCCAUUUCUCAUAUAUUUCUACUUUAUUGAUACAAUUGCCGACUCCUGUGGUUGCAGAAAAGAAAUAUCUAUGGCCAGUAUGGGAUUGUCAUCCUGGGCCUAACGUAUCGUAACUUUGAGUUUGUUUACACCAGUGGCGGAUCUAGUCAAUUUUGAAAGGGGUGUGACCUAAAUGUGUACUUUUUUCGAAGACCAUGAAAUGAUAAAAAAAAAUAUUCUUUUUAUAAAAUUAUUCAAUCAAAUGUAAGGGGCGGGGGGGUUAACCCCCUGUACAUUCGCCACUGGUUUGGGUCACAGCUGCCUAUGUGAAAGAGUCUGUCAACACUGUAUCUCAAGUUCAACAGAGGAUUCAUAGUUAACAUCGCAACUCCUGAGUCCAGGUAGGGGAAGAUGCACAAUAUCCACCUCUGGGGUUUUGUUGUGGGGCACAGCAUCAAAAAUGCAUCAUUUAGUGUAAUAAUUAAAUGAAUAUUAAUAUCAAAGAAUAAAUGAAAAACUAAUGAUUUGGAUUUGAACGCUGCUCAGGGUGUCCACUUUUUUGUCUCGGGCUCGUAAUCCUGUCUACUUUGUGUCUCGCUUGUUUUGUUUUUGUACUGAGAUAUUUGUUUAUGUUUUUUAUUUAAUUCCUAUUGUCUAUUUUAUCUAGGAUGUUGUCCACUAAGCUAAUGAUGGGGAUCGUAGCACUACCCUGCACACAGACAUGGAAUGGAUCUGCCUAGUCCAUUAUCAGAUGAGUGACCAUGCAGGACUGUUCGUCCCGUCAGAGAAGUUUCUCAAGAAGCAUUACAAGGGACUUGUAUGAAUGGGCAGAAGAAAUGUUCUUAAUUGACCACCCUAUCAUUGCCUGCUGUUGGAGACUGAACACUUUAUUGAAAAUUGCUGAGGUGUGGCAAUCAGUCGGUGUCCUGAGAAGAGUCAGAGAACUCCCUGGGCCUCAUGAGAUGGUGACACCCUGUAGUAGGAGCAGUUCCUACCGGUAUCUCUUAAAGGCAGACAGAGGUUCUCAUAGCAUCUGAUCCAUUUCUGGAGACAAACUUUUGUAUGGAGCUGGGUAGCAGUUACUUGAGAUAUCCGGCUGAUUGAUGAGGAUAAUUUCCCCAAGACUCUGACAUUCUGCAAGACUUGGAUAGCUCUAUUGCUGUAGAAAAUGUCAGGUUUGUUGAUGAAAUUAUGUAAAAUGUUUUAUGCCUCAUUCAUGCAAUGGCUGGGGUAUAUAGUGAUAACCCUUUUUAGCUCACAUGAGCUGAAAGCUAAAGUGAGCUAUUCUGAUCACAUUUUGUCCAGCAUCAGUCUUUUCGUCUCUUCAUAAACUUUUAACAUUUUUCGACUUCUUCUUCUCAAGCACCACAGGGUUAAUAUCAGCCAAACUUGCCUCAAAGCAUGCUUGGGUAAAGAGGAUUCAAGUUUGUGCAAAAUGGGGGACCAUGCUCCAUCCAAAGGGGAGGUAAUAAAAAAAUAGGGUGGAGUCAUUUAAAAAUCUUCUCAAGAACCGCUAGGCCAGAAAAGUUGAAAUUUAUAUAAAUGCUUCCUACAUAGUGUAGAUUCAAGUUUGUUCAAAUUAUGACA